CCUACGGGAGGCAGCAGUGGGGAAUCUUGCGCAAUGGGCGAAAGCCUGACGCAGCCAUGCCGCGUGAAUGAUGAAGGUCUUAGGAUUGUAAAAUUCUUUCACCGGGGACGAUAAUGACGGUACCCGGAGAAGAAGCCCCGGCUAACUUCGUGCCAGCAGCCGCGGUAAUACGAAGGGGGCUAGCGUUGCUCGGAAUUACUGGGCGUAAAGGGAGCGUAGGCGGAUAGUUUAGUCAGAGGUGAAAGCCCAGGGCUCAACCUUGGAAUUGCCUUUGAUACUGGCUAUCUUGAGUAUGGGAGAGGUAUGCGGAACUCCGAGUGUAGAGGUGAAAUUCGUAGAUAUUCGGAAGAACACCAGUGGCGAAGGCGGCAUACUGGCCCAUUACUGACGCUGAGGCUCGAAAGCGUGGGGAGCAAACAGGAUUAGAUACCCUGGUAGUCCACGCUGUAAACGAUGAGUGCUAGUUGUCGGCAUGCAUGCACGUCGGUGACGCAGCUACGCAUAAGACACUCCGCCGUCGGGAGGUACGGUCGCGAAGAAGUUAAACUACGAAAGAAGUUAGUACGGCGUGAGACGUCGCCGAACGGACGACCGACGAGGGAGGAGG
rnacentral:rRNA from 1 species